AAGUCGUAACAAGGUUUCCGUAGGUGAACCUGCGAAAGGAUUAUUAAAAAGAACCCCCUGGAAACGGGGGAGCGUGCGGGCCUUCGGGUCAGCACGUGUCCACCCUUUGUGAAACUUAACAUUUGCUUCGGCAGCGCUGCGGUACUACCGCGGGUAAGGCUGCCAGAAGCCCCCCAUUAAACCAGUGAUGAAUUAUCAUGCUGUCUGAAUACUCCUGAGAAAUCAGAAAAUGAAAUUAAAACUUUCAGCAACGGAUCUCUUGGUUCUC
rnacentral:misc_RNA from 1 species